rnacentral:lncRNA from 1 species
AGCCCAUCCCGUGCGGACCCUACGCCGAGUCCAGCCCGGGGCUGCUGGGCCAGCGGGAGCGGGAACCGGACGGCGCUCGCGUUCUGCCAGAGCGGAGAACGACUCGGGGACGGUGCGGAGGACCAGGGGAGGAGAUCCGCGCCCGCACGCACCAUCAGCCGAGAGGACGGCCCGCAUCGCGCCAGUGACCUAGGAGCGACUCGGGGACGGCUUCGGGCUCCCAGGCCCUCCUGGGCCACCGGGCACUGAGGAGAGCGGCGGCUGGAAACUGUGGGACCCGAAGGGCGGGAGCCCAGGGCCCGCCCCCGCCGGAGCGCCCCCGCCAUGGCCACGCCCCCGCCACGGGGAUGGGCAGGGCAAGCACCGGAAGUGCGUCACGCGGGAGCGUCUGCGUCGCCUACCCUGCGUGGCGCAGCUAGGUUCCGAGCGGCUUAGCCUCCGGGCGCCUGCGCAGUGGCGGUCCUAGAGACGCACUCGGUUGCCAUAGAGACGGGGGCUUGGGAGCGACGUCGCGCUCGCUGGCACUGGCGGCACUUGCCGCGCCGCAGCCACCUCUUUCCGACUCCACCAGUGCGGGCCCUAUCCGGGGUUUUGAGUCACGCAGACCUGGACACAGCGAGAAACGGCAGUCCGGGCCCGUCCUCCCGCCCCGGGUUCUGCACCCCAGAGUUGGACGCUUGCUUCUCGCUUUCUCCUGAGAGAAGUCUCCGCGUUUCUGAACAAUGCACUGCUAGUUUCUCAUUUCUUUCUUUCUUUCUUUUUUUUUUUUUGGAGACGGAGCCUCGCCCUGUCGCCCAGGCUGGAGUGCAAUGGCGCGAUCUCGGCUCAUUGCAACCUCCGCCUCCAGGGCUUAAACUAUUCUCUUGCUUCAGCCUCCCGAGCAGCUGGGACUACAGGCAUGCGCUACCACGCACAGCUAAUUUUUGCAUUUUUAGUCAAGACGGGGUUUCACCAUUUUGGCCAGGCUGAUUUCGAACUCCUGACCUCGUGAUCUGCCCUCCUAGGGCUCCCAACGUGCUGGGAUUAUAGGCGUGAGCCACCGCGCCCGGCCUCUCAUUUCUUAAUUGUAGACAUUGCGUACUUCCGGAGAAGGUCCCUGAGAACCUGGCUGAUCUUCCCCGCUGCACCCCUCACGUGGUCCUGUUAGCUCCCAAACUGUCAACCUGAAAGGAAACCCAGAGGCAGGCUCUCCAGGACAAGUGAGUUAAUCUGGGAAUCGCAGGGGGUUGCAGCCUAGGCUGUUCGUGCCAUGACAGAUCAUAGGCCUAUCUGAGAGGGCCGGGCGAAGGGGAAAAUACAGAUGAGCUCACAAAAGUUGUUUUGUAACAAAAACCACUGGCUGUGGGCGCUUGCUGCAGGAGUGGGCGUUAGCUUGUUGUUGGAGAGAGCCUUACCAGGCCGACGUCCUUGUGCAAGCUGCUUAUCUAGAAUACUGCAGUCCUGAGGAAUUUCCCUGCAGUAAGUCCGGUUACAGGCAAACGUGCAGGACGUGCAGGAGCGUCUUGUGAGGAGGCCUGCUGCAGGUAUUCCUGCAUGAGAGCUCCCCCUUCGUGGCCUCCCGACUCCAUUUGUUUAGGGAUUGGUGGAAGUAGUUCCAUUUUGGUACCUGCAACUUUCACAGCUGUCGUGAUGAAAUCAGGCUUAGCUCUUCAUGAUUGAGUACCUGCUGUUCACUGCUACAGUAUAAAACCAUGCCACAAUUCCUGUACAAUCUUUUUUUUUCUUUUGAGUUAAUAAUUACCUAAUAUUUUCACAUAUCUAGCUUUUUACUAACCCAUGGCCAGCCUUUUUUUCAAGUACCCCAACGUUUUCGCCACAUGCCUAACGAUACCGUUUUCCAAAGGCUCAAACACAUCCGUUGUGUCUAACUGAUUCUCCUGUUCCGACCUAGACCGAUCACUUCCUGACCCGGCUGCACAGCUCUUAUCUCGAGCUUUUCUCUGCUCUCAUCCUUGAGACUCACUUUGUCUGUCUCCUUUCUUGGAUUCCCUGUGUAAACGAAAAAUAAAAUCCUAAGCUCUCUACCAA